GCAACUUGCAGUUGUUUUAAUAAAAUUGGUUCCUUAGGUUAUUUGCCUCUCUUCGUGAGAGGCAUUUUUUUAUGUAUUUU
rnacentral:ncRNA from 22 species